AUUGAACGCUGGCGGCAUGCCUUACACAUGCAAGUCGAACGGCAACACGGGAGCAAUCCUGGUGGCGAGUGGCGAACGGGUGAGUAAUGUAUCGGAACGUACCUUUCAGUGGGGGAUAACGUAGCGAAAGUUACGCUAAUACCGCAUAUUCUGUGAGCAGGAAAGCAGGGGAUCGCAAGACCUUGCGCUGAUUGAGCGGCCGAUAUCAGAUUAGCUAGUUGGUGAGGUAAAGGCUCACCAAGGCGACGAUCUGUAGCGGGUCUGAGAGGAUGAUCCGCCACACUGGAACUGAGACACGGUCCAGACUCCUACGGGAGGCAGCAGUGGGGAAUUUUGGACAAUGGGCGGCAAGCCUGAUCCAGCCACUGCCGCCGUGAGUGAAG
rnacentral:rRNA from 1 species